GUGAAUCAUCGAAUCUUUGAACGCAAAUUGCGCCUUUUUCGGAAGGCAUGUCUGUUUGAGGGCCACAUUUAACAAAUAAUGUGCAGCGCUUUUUGUUGCACACGUUGAUGAGAUUUCCAAGAAUUUUAAAUUUUUGGUGGCGCAUAAUGAACAGCGUGAAAGUUUUUUUAAGUUAGAGUGUAGUAUACUAUUUGCUUGGGUUGUGAAAAAACAUAAUCGAUCAAUGGGGGUGGC
rnacentral:misc_RNA from 1 species